rnacentral:rRNA from 1 species
CCUACGGGUGGCAGCAGUGGGGAAUAUUGGGCAAUGGGCGCAAGCCUGACCCAGCAACGCCGCGUGAAGGAAGAAGGCUUUCGGGUUGUAAACUUCUUUUCUCAGGGACGAAGCAAGUGACGGUACCUGAGGAAUAAGCCACGGCUAACUACGUGCCAGCAGCCGCGGUAAUACGUAGGUGGCAAGCGUUAUCCGGAUUUACUGGGUGUAAAGGGCGUGUAGGCGGGAAAGCAAGUCAGAUGUGAAAACCAUGGGCUCAACCUGUGGCCUGCAUUUGAAACUGUUGUUCUUGAGUACUGGGGAGGCAGACGGAAUGCCUGGUGUAGCGGUGAAAUGCGUAGAUAUUAGGAGGAACACCAGUGGCGAAGGCGGUCUGCUGGACAGCAACUGACGCUGAGGCGCGAAAGCGUGGGGAGCAAACAGGAUUAGAUACCCUGGUAGUC